rnacentral:lncRNA from 1 species
AGGGAGUAUUCAUCAGAGGAAGCAAGCUUUUGAAAAGACAUUAAGUGCAUUCAAGAGAAAAUCCUAGCAAGGCAAGCUUCAUUCAAUUGCUUCAUUCAAAGAGCCAAAAGGAAGUGGUUGAGCAGAUUCCAAGAGACAUUAAGAGCUCCACCAACCCUUGAAGAGUGAAGCAAUCUUGACAAAGAAGAGAAGAGCCUUAUUAAAGCGAUAACUAUAUUCUAAACUCUUCUUUGUAGCUUAUAAAUGUUAUAUUUGCUCAUCUAGGAGUUUCAACAUUCUUCUUUCUUUUUAAUCACCUUGUAAAGGUUUGUUGGUGAGCCCGUAAAACCAACGGUAAAGGUUUGUUGGUGA